AACACCCUCCGGCCCGCGGUUUUUGCGAACCGCGGGCGCGGGCCCAUGGCGUGGGGAUUGCGGCCGCCUCGCUCCGGCGAGGCCCGGCCUUCCCCCGCUUAAACGCGGAGAAAAGCUAGCGGGCAUGUGCCCCCGAUCGCGACGACUCGUAGAUUUAUUUCUUGUCGGCGGGCAUCGGGAGCGACCCCGCCUUAAACCGAGGGAGAGCCCCCAGCGGGCGACCCCCAGAA
rnacentral:misc_RNA from 1 species